GUGAAGCCCACGGCUCACCCGUGGAGGGUCAUUGGAAACUGGAGGACUUGAGUGCAAAAAAGGAGAGCGGAAUUCCACGUGUAGCGGUGAAAUGCGUAAAGAUGUGGAGGAACACCAGUGGCGAAGGCGGCUCUCUGGUCUGUAACUGACGCUGAGGCGCGAAAGCGUGGGGAGCGAACAGGAUUAGAUACCCUGGUAGUCCACGCCGUAAACGAUGAGUGCUAAGUGUCAGGGGGUUUCCGCCCCUUGGUGCUGAAGUUAACGCAUUAAGCACUCCGCCUGGGGAGUACAACCGCAAGGUUGAAACUCAAAGGAAUUGACGGGGGCCCGCACAAGCGGUGGAGCAUGUGGUUUAAUUCGAAGCAACGCGAAGAACCUUACCAGGUCUUGACAUCCUCUGACAAUCCUGGAGACAGGACGUUCCCUUCGGGGACAGAGUGACAGGUGGUGCAUGGUUGUCGUCAGCUCGUGUCGUGAGAUGUUGGGUUAAGUCCCGCAACGAGCGCAACCCUUGUCCUUAGUUGCCAGCAUUCAGUUGGGCACUCUAAGGAGACUGCCGGUGACAAACCGGAGGAAGGUGGGGAUGACGUCAAAUCAUCAUGCCCCUUAUGACCUGGGCUACACACGUGCUACAAUUG
rnacentral:rRNA from 2 species